UCCUCGUGGUCGCGCACCCGGCUCACCUCAAGAACAAAGCGCGGUUUCCUCCCUCGCCAUCCUUCCUUAUGGUCGCGCACCCGGCUCACCUCAACAACAAAGCGCGGUUUCCUCCCUCGCCAUCCUUCCUCGUGGUCGCGCACCCGGUUGGAUUUCACAGUCAUGGAAGUUCUGCUUUAAAAUCCGUUUCUGAAGAAGUGUUAAUGGCAGCAGUGAGCCCCCCUGCCUCUGAUUGUCAUCUUUGGGGGCCAGAGAAGUGAGCAGCUAUCCUUCCCAGUCCCUGGUCCCUCCAAGCAGUGACAACAAAGAAUGGACCAGGCGAGGCAUUGUGUGUAGACACAACACCAGGUGAGGGAGAGUGUAUUAAACACCUGGACGGUACUCCGCAAAUAUGACACAGUCACCAAAGACAAGUUUGAGAAUCUGUCUCAGACAAGGUCUUGACACUGCUGACCAGGGACAAAAUGUCCCAUUGACAGUCAUGCUCUGGAGCAGGAUGGGCAGUGAGAGACCAGAGACCACAGGAUGGGUAAGAAAUAGCCCAGCUCAGGCUACUGGGUUGAAGAACUGCCAGAGCGUGAUCGCCAACGUGCAGAUUUCUGAUCUACGUGUAAUGUAGAAGCUGACUGUUCUGUAUCUGACGUUUCAUUUAGAGUCUAUGAAGUAGCUUAGGCCAAUUACUCAUAGCCGCCUGCCCCUCCUCAGUUACCUGGACAUAUGUCUUGUGUUCUGGAAUCAAAACUAAUUCUGAAUGCAUAUCCUGAAAACAUGGGACACUUACUCAGAUUUCACUCUUGGGUGUCAUUGGCCUUUUAAUUAUUUUCUAUCAAUAGACCGACCUUAGAUUUACUUGUCAAAAAAAGUAAGGUCAUUUUAUGAGCACUUUCAUUCCAAUUUCCUAGAUGUCUUUUCUGAUUAGAAAAACCUAUAAACUAUGUAGCUUUGAAUUUAUAGAAUCAUUAUUCCUGAAGGUUUUGCUGUCCUUUGCGCUCAGAGAUGGUCCCACUGACUCAGAGAUGGUCCCACUGACCCAGCAUGGCAGAGCCUGUGAUUGCAGCUCCAGGGGCCCUCAAUUCAUUUGUUUCCCUGCCUCUCCAUCUCCCCAUGUUAUCCUGUCACCCCAAAAAGCACCUGCCUGCAACACGGUCAGGAAAAGCCAGGAAAUUUGUGAGCCGACCAAACCGGAUUUGAAUUCUCUUUCUGAAAAUAAGUAAU
rnacentral:lncRNA from 10 species